rnacentral:rRNA from 1 species
GGUUAAGCGACUAAGCGUACACGGUGGAUGCCCUGGCAGUCAGAGGCGAUGAAGGACGUGCUAAUCUGCGAUAAGCGUCGGUAAGGUGAUAUGAACCGUUAUAACCGGCGAUUUCCGAAUGGGGAAACCCAGUGUGAUUCGUCACACUAUCAUUAACUGAAUCCAUAGGUUAAUGAGGCGAACCGGGGGAACUGAAACAUCUAAGUACCCCGAGGAAAAGAAAUCAACCGAGAUUCCCCCAGUAGCGGCGAGCGAACGGGGAGCAGCCCAGAGCCUGAAUCAGUGUGUGUGUUAGUGGAAGCGUCUGGAAAGGCGCGCGAUACAGGGUGACAGCCCCGUACACAAAAAUACACAUAUUGUGAGCUCGAUGAGUAGGGCGGGACACGUGGUAUCCUGUCUGAAUAUGGGGGGACCAUCCUCCAAGGCUAAAUACUCCUGACUGACCGAUAGUGAACCAGUACCGUGAGGGAAAGGCGAAAAGAACCCCGGCGAGGGGAGUGAAAAAGAACCUGAAACCGUGUACGUACAAGCAGUGGGAGCACGCUUAGGCGUGUGACUGCGUACCUUUUGUAUAAUGGGUCAGCGACUUAUAUUCUGUAGCAAGGUUAACCGAAUAGGGGAGCCGAAGGGAAACCGAGUCUUAACUGGGCGUUAAGUUGCAGGGUAUAGACCCGAAACCCGGUGAUCUAGCCAUGGGCAGGUUGAAGGUUGGGUAACACUAACUGGAGGACCGAACCGACUAAUGUUGAAAAAUUAGCGGAUGACUUGUGGCUGGGGGUGAAAGGCCAAUCAAACCGGGAGAUAGCUGGUUCUCCCCGAAAGCUAUUUAGGUAGCGCCUCGUGAAUUCAUCUCCGGGGGUAGAGCACUGUUUCGGCAAGGGGGUCAUCCCGACUUACCAACCCGAUGCAAACUGCGAAUACCGGAGAAUGUUAUCACGGGAGACACACGGCGGGUGCUAACGUCCGUCGUGAAGAGGGAAACAACCCAGACCGCCAGCUAAGGUCCCAAAGUCAUGGUUAAGUGGGAAACGAUGUGGGAAGGCCCAGACAGCCAGGAUGUUGGCUUAGAAGCAGCCAUCAUUUAAAGAAAGCGUAAUAGCUCACUGGUCGAGUCGGCCUGCGCGGAAGAUGUAACGGGGCUAAACCAUGCACCGAAGCUGCGGCAGCGACGCUUAUGCGUUGUUGGGUAGGGGAGCGUUCUGUAAGCCUGUGAAGGUGUGCUGUGAGGCAUGCUGGAGGUAUCAGAAGUGCGAAUGCUGACAUAAGUAACGAUAAAGCGGGUGAAAAGCCCGCUCGCCGGAAGACCAAGGGUUCCUGUCCAACGUUAAUCGGGGCAGGGUGAGUCGACCCCUAAGGCGAGGCCGAAAGGCGUAGUCGAUGGGAAACAGGUUAAUAUUCCUGUACUUGGUGUUACUGCGAAGGGGGGACGGAGAAGGCUAUGUUGGCCGGGCGACGGUUGUCCCGGUUUAAGCGUGUAGGCUGGUUUUCCAGGCAAAUCCGGAAAAUCAAGGCUGAGGCGUGAUGACGAGGCACUACGGUGCUGAAGUAACAAAUGCCCUGCUUCCAGGAAAAGCCUCUAAGCAUCAGGUAACAUCAAAUCGUACCCCAAACCGACACAGGUGGUCAGGUAGAGAAUACCAAGGCGCUUGAGAGAACUCGGGUGAAGGAACUAGGCAAAAUGGUGCCGUAACUUCGGGAGAAGGCACGCUGAUAUGUAGGUGAAGCGACUUGCUCGUGGAGCUGAAAUCAGUCGAAGAUACCAGCUGGCUGCAACUGUUUAUUAAAAACACAGCACUGUGCAAACACGAAAGUGGACGUAUACGGUGUGACGCCUGCCCGGUGCCGGAAGGUUAAUUGAUGGGGUCAGCGCAAGCGAAGCUCUUGAUCGAAGCCCCGGUAAACGGCGGCCGUAACUAUAACGGUCCUAAGGUAGCGAAAUUCCUUGUCGGGUAAGUUCCGACCUGCACGAAUGGCGUAAUGAUGGCCAGGCUGUCUCCACCCGAGACUCAGUGAAAUUGAACUCGCUGUGAAGAUGCAGUGUACCCGCGGCAAGACGGAAAGACCCCGUGAACCUUUACUAUAGCUUGACACUGAACAUUGAGCCUUGAUGUGUAGGAUAGGUGGGAGGCUUGGAAGUGUGGACGCCAGUCUGCAUGGAGCCGACCUUGAAAUACCACCCUUUAAUGUUUGAUGUUCUAACGUUGACCCGUAAUCCGGGUUGCGGACAGUGUCUGGUGGGUAGUUUGACUGGGGCGGUCUCCUCCUAAAGAGUAACGGAGGAGCACGAAGGUUGGCUAAUCCUGGUCGGACAUCAGGAGGUUAGUGCAAUGGCAUAAGCCAGCUUGACUGCGAGCGUGACGGCGCGAGCAGGUGCGAAAGCAGGUCAUAGUGAUCCGGUGGUUCUGAAUGGAAGGGCCAUCGCUCAACGGAUAAAAGGUACUCCGGGGAUAACAGGCUGAUACCGCCCAAGAGUUCAUAUCGACGGCGGUGUUUGGCACCUCGAUGUCGGCUCAUCACAUCCUGGGGCUGAAGUAGGUCCCAAGGGUAUGGCUGUUCGCCAUUUAAAGUGGUACGCGAGCUGGGUUUAGAACGUCGUGAGACAGUUCGGUCCCUAUCUGCCGUGGGCGCUGGAGAACUGAGGGGGGCUGCUCCUAGUACGAGAGGACCGGAGUGGACGCAUCACUGGUGUUCGGGUUGUCAUGCCAAUGGCACUGCCCGGUAGCUAAAUGCGGAAGAGAUAAGUGCUGAAAGCAUCUAAGCACGAAACUUGCCCCGAGAUGAGUUCUCCCUGACUCCUUGAGAGUCCUGAAGGAACGUUGAAGACGACGACGUUGAUAGGCCGGGUGUGUAAGCGCAGCGAUGCGUUGAGCUAACCGGUACUAAUGAACCGUGAGGCUUAACCUU